ensembl:lncRNA
AAACUACAAUUCCAAUGGCUCUGGCAGAAUGAAUAUCAACCUAGGUCAAUUCUCCAUGACAGGAACCCACAAAUUUGCCGGUCCACUUCACGUCUCAACUAUUAGAUAAUAGCAGACAAGAUGCAUGUUCCUGAUAGGCACAGGGUGCUUACCUCUAACUGUCUCCAGCAUUAGAAAAGGAAGUCAGGGCUGGGCGCGGUGACUCACGCCUGUAAUCCGAGCACUUUGGGAGGCCAAGGCAGGAGGAUCACGAGGUCAGGAGCUAGAGACCAUCCUGGCUAACACGGUGAAACCCCGCCUCUACUAAAAAUACAAAAAACUAGCCGGGCGUGGUGGCGUGGCAGGCGCCUGUAGUCCCAGCUACUCUGGAGGCUGAAGCAGGAGAAUGGUGUGAACCCAGGAGGCGGAGCUUGCAGUGAGCCGAGAUUGCGCCACUGCACUCCAGCCUGGGCAACAGAGCUCUCAAUCCUGUUGAGAGUACACAUUGAAAUUGGCCAUGAUGGCAGAGUAACUGGUGAAGCAGAUGUCGAGUUUGCAACUCAUGAAGAUGCUGUGGCAGCUAUUGCAAAAGACAAAGCAAAUACGCGCAAGCGUGAUUGAGCAUUUGUGGGCUCUUAACAGCAAAUCAGUCCAGUUACGGUGGCCCAGCCAGCCAGCAGCUGAGUGGUGGUUAUGGAGGCAGCAUAGUGGCCAGAGCAGCAUUAGUGGAUACGACCAAGUUUUACAGAAAAAUUCCAGUGAUUUUUCAAUCAAACAUUGCAUAGGAAAAGCAAGAGACUUCCCCUGUGCUUCCUUUUCUCAAAUGCCAUUCGAGGGACACAUUGUGAAUGUUUAUGGUAACCAAGGAGCAAUGAACAGCAGCUACUACAGUAGUGGAAGCCGUGCAUCUAUGGGCGUGAACAGAAUGGGAGGGAUGUCUAGCAUGUCCAGUAUGAGUGGUGGAUGGGGAAUGUAAUUGAUCAAUCCUGAUCACUGACUCUUUGUCAACUUUUUUUUUUUUUAAAAAAAACUUCAGUUUAACAGUUUCUGCAAUACAAGCUUAUGAUUUAUGCUUACUCUCUAAGUGGAAAUCAGGAUUGUUAUGAAGACUUAAGGCCCAGUAUUUUUGCAUACAAUACUCAUCUAGGAUGUAACAGUGAAGCUGAGUAAAUUAUAACUGUUAAAUUUAAGUUCCAGCUUUUCUCAAGUUAGUUAUAGGAUGUACUUAAGCAGUAAGCGUAUUUAGGUAAAAGCAGUUGAAUUAUGUUAAAUGUUGCCCUUUGUCAGGUUACAUUGAACACUGUUUGGAUGCAUGUUGAAAGACAUGCUUUUAUUUUUUGGAAAACUCAAUAUAGGGGCUAUGUCUACAAUUAAAAGUGAAACAUUUUGGCAUGUUUGUUAAUUCUAGUUUCAUUUAAUAACCUGUAAAGCAUGUAAGUUUAAGCUUUUUUUUUUUUUUUUUUUUUUUUUUUUAAGUUAAUGGGGAAAAUUUGAGACACAAUACCAAUACUUUCGGACUUUGGUCUUGGUGUUUGUAUGAAAUUCUGAGGCCUUGAUUUAAAUCUUUCACUGUAUUGUGAUUUCCUUUUAGGUAUAUUGCGCUAAAUGGAACUUGACAAAUAAAUCCUCCUUUUAAAAACUGCACUCCGUCUUGUCUGUGCUUCAGUGUCAUGUGGACUGUUUUGGUGCUCUGUGCCCACCUGGGGCCUAGGGCCACAUCUCUGGCUGUGGCAGAGUGGCUUGGCAGUUGAGGCUGUUGUAUAGAUGUCUUCAGACUUCCCUCCAGCGCAACUGAAGGUAAACUAGUCUUUGGGGCCCUUGUGGAAGGGCUGUAUGUCAUUUGGCUGCACAGGACCUGAUCUGAACUGCCUGUAACUUGUUAAGCACUUGCACAAAGCAAAGGGGGAGGCACCAGUGCCCUCACUGCAUGGCCUGCAUGUCUAUGAGACCUUCAUGCAUGGCUGGGAAGGUGCCAGAAGCAAGGGAGGUGUGAUGAAUAUGUGGGUUUCUUCUAGCUCACAGAUGGUUUUUUUUUUUUGAGGCAGAGUCUUACUCUUGUCUCAGGCUGGAUUACAGUGGCGUGAUCUCGGCUCACCUGCAACUUCCACCUCAGGCUGAAGCCAUUCUCCUGCCUCAGUUUCCCAAGUAGGUGGGGUUAUAGGCGCCUGCCACCACUCCAGGCUAAUUUUUUUGUAUUUUCAGUAGACACGGGGUUUCACAAUGUUGGCCAGGCUGGUCUCCAACUCCUGACCUCAUGUGAUCUGCCCACCUCGGCCUCCCAAAGUGCUGGGAUUAUAGGCUUGAGCCACUGUGCCCAGCCUUCACAGAUGGUUUUCAAAUUGAGGUUUUGAAUUUUGUAUUUUUGGCUCAUUCCUAAAAAAUCAGUUCCACUUGGAAGCAAAAUUCCGUGUAAAUCUCCUGAGGUAGAAUGAUAGGUAGUGGUUGAGAGCUAACAUGACUAGUUUAAAUGAACUCUAAAUAUAUCCCUGUUUUGGUAGUUUGGAGCUCCAAUAUAAUGCUAGGAAGUAUUCAAGCUGCUUUAAAGCAGUCCUGAAAAGUGUGGUCCCAGAGUUCCUUCAGUAGAUGCUUAG